UACAUGGGGUGCAAACGUUGCUCGGAAUCAUUGGGCGUAAAGCGCGCGUAGGCGGUUACUUAAGUUGGAUGUGAAAGCCCUCGGCUUAACCGAGGAAGCGCAUCCAAAACUGAGUAGCUAGAGUACGAAAGAGGGUCGCGGAAUUCCCGGUGUAGAGGUGAAAUUCGUAGAUAUCGGGAGGAACACCGGUGGCGAAGGCGGCGACCUGGGUCGAGACUGACGCUGAGGCGCGAAAGCGUGGGGAGCGAACAGG
rnacentral:rRNA from 1 species